rnacentral:rRNA from 1 species
UCCAACUUGAGAGUUUGAUCCUGGCUCAGAGCGAACGCUGGCGGCAGGCCUAACACAUGCAAGUCGAGCGCCCGGGGCAACCCGGGAGCGGCAGACGGGAGAGUAACACGUGGGAACGUACCCUUUGGUUCGGAACAACCCAGGGAAACUUGGGCUAAUACCGGAUAAGCCCUUACGGGGAAAGAUUCAUCGCCGAAGGAUCGGCCCGCGUCUGAUUAGCUAGUUGGUGGGGUAAUGGC